GAAAUGCGUUAAGUAGUGUGAAUUGCAGAAUUCAGUGAAUCAUCGAAUCUUUGAACGCACAUUGCGCCCCUUGGUAUUCCAUGGGGCAUGCCUGUUCGAGCGUCAUUUGUACCCUCAAGCUCUGCUUGGUGUUGGGUGUUUGUCCCGUCUCCGCGCGUGGACUCGCCCCAAAGUGAUUGGCAGCCGGCGUACUGGUCCCGGAGCGCAGCACAUGUCGCGCAAACGAGUGCCUUGGUACGGCGGCGUCCAUAAGCCCCUCUCUCACGCUCUUGACCUCGGAUCAGGUAGGGAUACCCGCUGAACUUAAGC
rnacentral:misc_RNA from 1 species